UUUUUUUUUGCCGCAGAGUAGCAAACAUCGUGAUAUGUAUAUAUGUAUAUAUGUAUAUAUAUAUAUAUAUUUUGAAGGACCCUAUUUUACUUUUACUAUUAAACUUGUUCUUCCUAUAAUGAUAAUAUAAAAGUAGGUCAAGGUAUUUGUGGCUAAUAUUUCUACGCUCUACCAACCCGGAUGACCGAAAGAACGAAAUGUAAAUGUUAAACCGCAUUUACGAAACGAUGACGCCAUCGGUGGGUCCUGCUGAGAGUGAAAUAGAUAGAACUAUGAUCUCGCAGGUUCUCCGUUGGUUUCUCUGACAAAAAUUAAUUGUAUACUUCGCCACAGUGCUGCCUAAUAUAGCCAGAUAAUCUGGUGCUUGUAAACGAUAAUCACAGCCCGUAGCUAACGUGUUCGAACAUAUCUUAUUACGGAUAUGUACAAGAUAAGGACGUAAGUAGAGUCUCCGCGGUAGUGAUUUGUUUGCAGUCUUGUGUCGUAUAUCAUCGUUAUUGUGAUAUAUAUCAUCGAGUAGUGUUAGGCAAACUACUAGACGCGCGGAUCGAAUGUUACGGGGCCGACUAUCAUGCGAACCAAUGUCCACUGAAAUAAACAAUUAUCCUUGGACACGAAUGCUUCAUACAUCAAACGAGUUUAAAAGAGAAUCUGAAAGCGACCAUAGGAGCAACAUCCUCGACGCGUAUCAUAAUUUAUGUACGCAAUAGAUGACUGUGAAUUGGUUCGCUCAUACAUGACUCGUACACAGCGCGUCUUGCAAGGGAUUACAUAGAUAUCUAUUCACGAUUUCGUCACUCUGUUGUACAUUCGAAUGCGAACGUUCGUAGAAAGUAAACGUCCAAAUAGUGUUCAUAUUUUAAGUGAAACGCUGCUCCAUUUCUGCUUUUUAUGCCUUAUUAUAGAAGGACCAAUUGAUAGGGCUAUUUUCUUCUUUCAUGAAACGGUUAUUCAACGAUGUUGGCUAACUUGCAUAUCUAUAGCUCUCAUCGAGCUUGGUGGUUCGCGAACCAGCGCAACGAACUGUGCCGUUGCUUUGGCAAGAGCAUCAUCAACGAAUAAUUGAAAAUCAUGCUGAUUAUUGGCUGGUCACGUGAUUGAAAGAAUAGGGGUUCACGUCGUAGACGCCACAGACGAUUAAUAAUCGAUAAUUCGAAGAGAUACGAAAUGGACGCCAUAUAUGUUUAUUAAUAAAUCGGGUCGUUGAUUUCUCAUGCAGAUUUGGUAAUGAUUGAGAUAUGACAAAGCAGAUGUAUGUACACGAUUAUUUUCUUUUUUUAUGGUUCAAUGGUAAUCAGUAUUUGUUCACAUAAUUGCUCUACAAUUUACGAUUGGUUUAUAAUGACAUUAUUUUAUAAAUAGUAGCAUAACUUGUUGAAAAUAUUAAGAUGAAAGAAAAUGAGGUUAAAGAAAUCACAUUUUAGAAAUGUUUCGGGUAUAUAGAUUAUUGUUAAUAAUCGGAUAUACUAUUAAGUAAUUAAUGUUUUAUAUCAGUAUAUAGCAAAUUAUACGAAUCAUUUAAUUGUUAUUAGAAAACAAUCUAUCACGAAAUUAUUAUAUUUUUAUAUACUUGAAUAAAAAAACAAGUUUACUAUUUCCUUGAAUGGGUCUGAACAAACACAUUUCUGUGCAUGUUUAAAAAUACACUCUAAUCACUUCAAAUAUGUUUUGAUAAGAAAGCUUAACUUAUUACAAGCGUUGUCGAAUCUUUAUAAAGUACAACAUGAUAUAUUAGUAAAAACCAUAUUUCAAACUCUGAUAACGAACAUUCACAAUUGAAUUCUUCUUGGAGAAUUGGUUUUAUAUUUUAGAAUAUUAAUAAGUGCAAAAAAUGUAUUGGAAAAUGUUUUGCAAUACAUAAACAUAGUUUGAAAUAUUACACGUAUAUUCCAUCUUCUAAUACGCGUACGUAAUACCUCUUCAUUGGAGGAAAAUAAAUAAUACGCUUCGAAAAACAGUAGUAUUUCCAAAACAAACAGUCCGCCUAACCCCCCCCCCCCCCCCCCCGCCUCCAUGCUAAUGCAACCUUUUUCAGAAAAUAUUUGUGGCCGCGCGCAAUGCGGUCGGUAGAGUCAGUGUUUGCUGCGUAAUAACAUUUUUUAUAUUUUCUAGAGCACGAUAGCUCGUAGUAAUUAUAAAUUCAAUUACAACAGUUGUAUGCGAAAUUAGAGUCAGUGUGUUCGCCGAUUGCUAUUUAAACGGACGCGCUAAUAGUAAUUUUUUUUCUCUUUUUUUAUAUAUCCUUUUUUUUUCAAACAUUUGCUGUCGGUAGUAGAGUCGCA